rnacentral:rRNA from 1 species
GAACGAGGAUAUAUCCUUCGGGAUAUAAGCCGAGUGGCGCAAGGGUGAGUAAUGCAUAGAUUACCUGCCUCCGGGAUAAGGACAACUUUGUGAAAACGAAGCUAAUACUUAAUAAUACAAAAGAAAAUAAUUUUCAUUUGUCAAUGGGAGGGUAGCAAUACCUUUUGCCUGGAGAGGGGUUUAUGUCCUAUCAGCUUGUUGGUGGGGUAAUGGCCUACCAAGGCGAAGACGGGUAGCCGGUCUUAGAGGAUGGUCGGCCACACUGGGACUGAGACACUGCCCAGACUUCUACGGAAGGCUGCAGUCGAGAAUCUUUCGCAAUGCCCGAAAGGGUGACGAAGCGACGCCGCGUGAGUGAGGAAGGCCUUCGGGUUGUAAAGCUCUGUCAGGAGUUAAGAAAUAUAAGUGUGCUAAUACCACAUUUAUUUGACGAAGGCUCCAAAGGAAGCCACGGCUAACUCUGUGCCAGCAGCCGCGGUAAUACAGAGGUGGCAAGCGUUGUUCGGAAUUAUUGGGCGUAAAGAGCACGUAGGUGGGUUUGUAAGUCAGAUGUGAAAGCCUUCUGUUCAACGGAAGAAUUGCAUCUGAAACUGCGAGUCUUGAGUGUAGGAGGGGAGAAUGGAACUUCUGGUGGAGCGGUGAAAUGCGUAGAUAUCAGAAGGAACGCCGGCGGCGAAAGCGAUUCUCUGGCCUAUUACUGACGCUCAGUGUGCGAAAGCUAGGGGAGCAAACGGGAUUAGAUACCCCGGUAGUCCUAGCCGUAAACGAU